GACAGAGGGUGCAAACGUUGUUCGGAUUUACUGGGCGUAAAGCGCGUGUAGGCGGCUUCGUAAGUUGGAUGUGAAAUCCCACGGCUCAACCGUGGACGUGCAUCCAAAACUACGUCGCUGGAGUCUCGGAGAGGAAGGUGGAAUGCUUGGUGUAGAGGUGAAAUUCGUAGAUAUCAAGCAGAACACCUGCGGCGAAGGCGGCCUUCUGGACGAUGACUGACACUGAGACGCGAAAGCGUGGGGAGCAAACGGG
rnacentral:rRNA from 1 species